UACGGGGGGGGGCAAGCGUUGUUCGGAAUUACUGGGCGUAAAGGGCUCGUAGGUGGCCAACUAAGUCAGACGUGAAAUCCCUCGGCUUAACCGGGGAACUGCGUCUGAUACUGGAUGGCUUGAGUUUGGGAGAGGGAUGCGGAAUUCCAGGUGUAGCGGUGAAAUGCGUAGAUAUCUGGAGGAACACCGGUGGCGAAGGCGGCAUCCUGGACCAACACUGACACUGAGGAGCGAAAGCCAGGGGAGCGAACAGG
rnacentral:rRNA from 1 species